AUCAUUUCGGUAGCAUAUGUACUAAAAUUAGAAUGAUACAGAGAAGAGUAGCAUAGCCCCUGUGCAAGGAUGACACACAAGUUCAUGACUCAUCAUGUAUUUUU